AGCCACGUUGGAAUUUUGAUCUAAAUAAACGGAAGAAAUCCAAACAGGUCACAUCAAUGUAGCAGCAAGAGGAGAACGUGAAUUCUUUUUGCUUAGCUUUCAAUGCAGUCAAGGCUACAAUUUACGCAUCAGUGAAGCAAAAGUGGGUAAUUUGGCCAUCCGCGUUCCUUAAAUGUAUUUUAUCAUUUAAAUGUACGGGGAAUUUUACGCACGAAUCUGGAUUAAAGAAGGCGGACAUGGUGACUGGGUAAUCAGAUAUUCUUGUACUUCACGGACAGUGGAAUCUGGGCAUUUUUUUCCCCAUCACGAAUAUUCUCCAAUUUCACCACUAGAUGUCACCGUUUAGUCGUCUAGUCGACACCCUCCCAACCUUCCUCCUCCUCAUCCUCGAGAGAUCGAGCAGCCCUAAAUAAUCCGGUGUACUCUACCAAACUGCUUCACUAAUAUGUCUUUGAGCAAGAAGCCCAGCAUAGGUGGGGUAACGGACUCCCGUGGCUUUGAAUAUCUUUACGUGAGCCAGCCUGACCACUGGUGUUGAGCCACGAGGAGUUGAAGAGCAAGGUUCAAUGACGAGGGGAGUAGCCUACAGUGACUGCAUCCUGCUCUGGCUGCUAGAACAAAGUUUGUCCUCCCGGAAAAAAAACGUCCCACCAACUUGAUCGAGAAAGUGGCACGUAAACAACUUAUCAGCAGCACCGUCGGAUUUGGUUAACUGAGGGGUGAUGGAGAAAAAGAGCUGUGAAGAGGAAGUGCAGGCAGCAGGAAGUAGAGGUCAACACAAGAUCUCUGGGAUUUUGCUCUCCACUGGACCCACAUGAGGUUGGAUGGACACGUCAUUGAUUGUGACCCAUAAACAAGUGGCAUAAUGACUGGAGUCUCCACACUAAAGACGUCAAGGAUAUUCAGCUGAUCUCAGAGGCGAUGAGUUCUCCUGAUCCAGUGGGAAGGAGGCUGAAUUUCAGCAAGAAAGAAGCAUCAAGAUAUAUCUCACAUGCUUCAGUGACAAUAUCUCUAUGACAUGUGAACCUGCACUGUACUUUAUAUAUCUGUAUUUCUGUCAACUAGUUCUAAGAUUGUUGACCAAACUGACAAAUCCUCUCAACAAUAGACUGAAAAUAGUCAAUCCAACAAAUUCUUUGACUUUGCUCCAAUAGGCAUCAAUGUAUUUAUUUUUAAAUUUUUAUAGGGAGAACACUUCCCAAAAUAAGACAAAAAUAUUCCACACAUUACAACUUGCACCUAUUUCAUGUAAUUGAUUGAGUCUAACAAGGAUAUUUUUUGACAGCUAAAUAAAGAGUUUUUUCUCCCUGUAA